AGACACCGGCGAGAUUCGAACUCGCGAUCUCCUGUUUACAAGACAGGCGCUUUAACCAACUAAGCCACGGCGCC
rnacentral:tRNA from 13 species